GUCUCUGUGGCGCAAUUGGUCAGCGCGUUCGGCUGUUAACCGAAAGGUGGGUGGUUCAACCCCACCCAGGGACG
rfam:Gasterosteus aculeatus cont1.016600, whole genome shotgun sequence.